rnacentral:lncRNA from 1 species
AAAGAGAGAGUUAAGAAGGGUGACUUGCGGAACACGAAAGCGUAUCUCCACAUCAAACCAAUGCUCGGAGCAACGUUCACCGACAUAGCCAUCUGGCUAUUCUACCCUUUCAAUGGUCCCGCACGUGCCAAAGUCAAGUUCAUCAACCUCCCGUUAGGGAGGAUCGGCGAACACAUUGGUGAUUGGGAACACGUGACGUUACGUAUAAGCAACUUCACCGGAGAGCUAUGGAGAGUGUUCUUGUCUCAGCACAGCGGAGGAGUUUGGCUCGACGCUUGUGACCUAGAACCCAUGACUUCAAGUUUCUACUGUUAGACCAUUUCAAAUCAAUCUCCCCAUCUCAAAAUGGGAAACUGUCUUUCAAUCACGGAUCCUUCUCCCGAAGCUGUAUCAGAGAAGAUUCUCAAAGCACUUCCCGUGGAAACUCCUUUCAAGUUUCCCUCACCACUGCCUACUUUGCCUCAAGGUUUGUACUAUAUAUGGUUCUUGUCCAUCUCUUGUGAGAAUAUAAAACUUCUACAGAGUUUCGAGGAAACAUGAAUAAUAUAAAAGACUUGGAUCAGUCCAGCCAGUUGGUUUUAAGUUGAAAAUUCGUAAAACUUAACAUUUAUUGGUUUGAUGAUUUUUAUUUGACUUGAAUCUUCAGGUAACGGGUUUGCAAAACGAACCAUUGACUUGGGAGGUCUUGAGGUUAGCCAAGUUUCGACAUUCAACAAGGUCUGGUCCACUUAUGAAGGUGGACCAGACAACCUCGGAGCAACCUUCUUUGAACCAUUAUCGGUCCCUUCCGGUUUCUCCAUCCUCGGUUACUACGCUCAACCAAACAACCAUCAACUAUUCGGAUGGGUACUCACAGCUAGGGAUCUCUCAAGCGACACCUUGAAAUCGCCUCUAGAUUACACCCUCGUAGCAAACACCGAGUCACUCAAGAUCAAACAAGACGGACCUGGAUACAUCUGGCAGCCCGUGCCGCCUGAUGGAUCCCAAGCCGUUGGUUUAUUAGUCACAACCACCUCUCAAAAGCCUCCUCUAGACAAACUACGUUGUGUUAGGUCAGACUUAACCGAACAGUGUGAAGCUGACACAUGGAUAUGGGGAAUUAACGGAGUCAACGUCUCAAACCUAAGACCGAACAUUAGAGGGACACAAGCUACAGGAGUCUGUGUCGGAACAUUCACAUGGCAACCUCAAAACUCAUCUCCUCCAUCUUUAGCUUGCUUGAAGAACACGAAACUAAACUUCUCUACCAUGCCAAACGGGUCCCAAAUCGGUGUCUUGUUCAACACGUAUUCUCCAUUGAUCCAUCUCCACCCAGACGAAGAAUACCUACCUUCCUCUGUCAACUGGUACUUCAGCAACGGUGCCUUGCUUUACAAGCAAGGUCAAGAAUCAAACCCUAACCCUAUCGAAUCCAACGGAGCAAACCUUCCACAAGGCGGAUCUAACGACGGUUCAUACUGGCUAGACCUGCCUAGAGACAAGAAGGCCAAAGAGAGAGUUAAGAAGGGUGACUUGCGGAACACGAAAGCGUAUCUCCACAUCAAACCAAUGCUCGGAGCAACGUUCACCGACAUAGCCAUCUGGCUAUUCUACCCUUUCAAUGGUCCCGCACGUGCCAAAGUCAAGUUCAUCAACCUCCCGUUAGGGAGGAUCGGCGAACACAUUGGUGAUUGGGAACACGUGACGUUACGUAUAAGCAACUUCACCGGAGAGCUAUGGAGAGUGUUCUUGUCUCAGCACAGCGGAGGAGUUUGGCUCGACGCUUGUGACCUAGAGUUCCAAGGAGGAGGAAGCAACAAGCCUGUGGCGUACGCGUCGCUUCACGGACACGCAAUGUAUGCUAAACCUGGACUUGUGUUGCAAGGAGACGGUGAUGUUGGGAUAAGGAACGAUACGGCGAAGAGUAAGAAGGUGG